rnacentral:tRNA from 1 species
UCAUUAAAUGACUGAUUAAGUAUUGAUUUUUUAAAUCAAACAUAAUAGAUUUUCUAUUUUUAAUGAA